rnacentral:tRNA from 1 species
GCCGAAGUGGUGGAACUGGUAGACACGCUGUCUUGAGGGGGCAGUGGGAGUAAUCCUGUGCGGGUUCGAGUCCCGCCUUCGGCAC